rnacentral:rRNA from 1 species
UACGUAGGGUGCGAGCGUUAAUCGGAAUUACUGGGCGUAAAGCGCGCGUAGGUGGUUUGUUAAGUUGAAUGUGAAAUCCCCGGGCUCAACCUGGGAACUGCAUCCAAAACUGGCAAGCUAGAGUAGGGCAGAGGGUGGUGGAAUUUCCUGUGUAGCGGUGAAAUGCGUAGAUAUAGGAAGGAACACCAGUGGCGAAGGCGACCACCUGGGCUCAUACUGACACUGAGGUGCGAAAGCGUGGGGAGCAAACAGG